UACGAAGGGGCUAGCGUUGCUCGGAAUCACUGGGCGUAAAGGGUGCGUAGGCGGGUCUUUAAGUCAGGGGUGAAAUCCUGGAGCUCAACUCCAGAACUGCCUUUGAUACUGAAGAUCUUGAGUUCGGGAGAGGUGAGUGGAACUGCGAGUGUAGAGGUGAAAUUCGUAGAUAUUCGCAAGAACACCAGUGGCGAAGGCGGCUCACUGGCCCGAGUA
rnacentral:rRNA from 1 species